rnacentral:rRNA from 1 species
GACUCCGUGGCUACAGAACGACGCUGGCGGCAUGCCUAACACAUGCAAGUCGAACGAGACCUUCGGGUCUAGUGGCGCACGGGUGCGUAACACGUGGGAAUUUGCCUCGGGGUAUGGAAUAACUCAGGGAAACUUGAGCUAAUACCAUAUAAUGUCUUCGGACCAAAGAUUUAUCGCCCUGAGAUAAGCCCGCGUAGGAUUAGCUAGUUGGUGAGGUAAAGGCUCACCAAGGCGACGAUCCUUAGCUGGUCUGAGAGGAUGAUCAGCCACACUGGGACUGAGACACGGCCCAGACUCCUACGGGAGGCAGCAGUGGGGAAUAUUGGACAAUGGGCGAAAGCCUGAUCCAGCAAUGCCGCGUGAGUGAUGAAGGCCUUCGGGUUGUAAAGCUCUUUUACUCGGGACGAUAAUGACGGUACCGAGAGAAUAAGCCCCGGCUAACUCCGUG